CACGUAGGGGGCAAGCGUUGUCCGGAAUUAUUGGGCGUAAAGAGCUCGUAGGCGGCUUGUUGCGUCAGCUGUGAAAACCCACAGCUCAACUGUGGGCUUGCGGUCGAUACGGGCAGGCUAGAGUUCGGUAGGGGAGACUGGAAUUCCUGGUGUAGCGGUGAAAUGCGCAGAUAUCAGGAGGAACACCGGUGGCGAAGGCGGGUCUCUGGGCCGAUACUGACGCUGAGGAGCGAAAGCGUGGGGAGCGAACAGG
rnacentral:rRNA from 1 species